ensembl:snoRNA small nucleolar RNA SNORA69
AAAGCAGGUCUGCAAUUGCAGUGCUUCAUGUCUGUGGAGUGCUGUCAUUAUCCCUGCUGAGAACAUCUUUCUGCUGUGGAGCUCUUUCUCCUGAUCACUGCAUUAGUGAUCAGGGCGCUCUUUGGCUGAAACAUUC